AUUGAACGCUGGCGGCAUGCCUUACACGUGCAAGUCGAACGGUAGCGGGCCUUCGGGUGCCGACGAGUGGCGCACGGGUGAGUAAUACAUCGGAACGUGCCCGAUCGUGGGGGAUAACGAGGCGAAAGCUUUGCUAAUACCGCAUACGAUCUACGGAUGAAAGCAGGGGACCGCAAGGCCUUGCGCGGACGGAGCGGCCGAUGGCAGAUUAGGUAGUUGGUGGGAUAAAAGCUUACCAAGCCGACGAUCUGUAGCUGGUCUGAGAGGAUGAUCAGCCACACUGGGACUGAGACACGGCCCAGACUCCUACGGGAGGCAGCAGUGGGGAAUUUUGGACAAUGGGCGCAAGCCUGAUCCAGCCAUGCCGCGUGCAGGAUGAAGGCCUUCGGGUUGUAAACUGCUUUUGUACGGAACGAAAAGCCUUCUUUUAAUACAGGAGGGUCAUGACGGUACCGUAAGAAUAAGCACCGGCUAACUACGUG
rnacentral:rRNA from 1 species